UACAGGGGGGGCAAGCGUUGUUCGGAAUUACUGGGCGUAAAGGGUUCGUAGGUGGCCACCUAAGUCAGACGUGAAAUCCCUCAGCUUAACUGGGGAACUGCGUCUGAUACUGGAUGGCUGGAGUGUGGGAGAGGGAUGCGGAAUUCCAGGUGUAGCGGUGAAAUGCGUAGAUAUCUGGAGGAACACCGGUGGCGAAGGCGGCAUCCUGGACCAUUACUGACACUGAAAAGCGAAAGCCAGGGGAGCAAACGGG
rnacentral:rRNA from 1 species